AUUUGUGUUUUGGAAUCUCUCAUCUAGCUCCUUUUUGUAUUAUGACUAUUAACUAAAGUGAAUUUAUUUAUGUGUUUUUAAAUACGUAAUAUUACACAUCCUGAUCUCUUCAAGUGAAUCUUUUAAGGGCGGUUAUAGCAGAGAGUUGGUGCAACGUAUACAUUGUUUGAAUGGAUAAUUGUAAUGUUGGGUCCAAUACCAAAAAGACACACACACACCAAAAAUCCACCAUUUUGUAGUGAAUCUUGGGGGGUUGAGAUGUUUUUUCAAACGGGCAUCGUGACAACAGCCUGCCACAGAGUUUGGGUCAUCAGUGUAGUCGUUAAGCAGGCCGUAAUGGGCCGUGCGAGGCUGUUCUGCUCUGGCGCCGGGCCGGCUGACCUGUGGAUCACACCAACAUUAUCGGCCGACGGAUCGCACCAUUAUGCCCUUGAUGGAGGGGAACUGUGGAUGUGUCUGGAGGAGAUCGAAAAUGCGUUCCCAGUGUGCUGCCAAUCUGCAGACACGCCACAGGCAGAAGCACUAAAGGUCACAGCUGUCUGCGAUGCAGCAGAGACUAUCGAACGUGAGGGAAGAGAACCAAACAACGAUGAUUUGUCAUUCCGGGUGACUUCCUUA